UGGAAGCGACAGAGUGCCCCGCCCCCCGCGCCCCGUAGUCACAAUAGUGGGAAUGGCUGCCACCCACCUCCCGGGGGGGACUGAUGGAAAGAGAACUCCAACCAAGGAGAAAAAAUUACUUUAGCGAGUAAAAAUGAGGUGAAACAUUCAGUCGCUUGAAGCGGAGAUGUUGCGAGAACCUUGUCCUGCCUUGUACAGCGUGCGCCUGUUCUGCGCGUGGCCUUGUGAAGUGUGGGCUGAGAAUAUCACAUGGUUCAGUCUUCUGGAGGAAGUUAUAUAAUAAAAGCCUAGCGCCUUUGAAUAUUAAAAACAUCCCAAAGGCCAGGAGUCCUCUUAAAGGAUUUGAAAGGGAUUCAGACCUGAAUACAGCUAGCUUCUGAAGCAUAUUUAGGCUCACUGAUGACUCUAAGAGAAGACGGUCAGGAGCUGAGAUUUGAGCAUUUGCUUACUACUAAGUUCUGCUUUCUCUACAAGACAGAAAUGUCUGGACAUCUCAUUCAUCUCAACAGUAAGCAUAAGAACACCAUCCUCCCCUUAAUGGAAUAAAACUUUGGACAGUGCUUACAGUAUGCUGUGAAAAUAAUGAGCUACAACUGGAUUUUCAAACUACAGCAGUGAAGUCAGUUGUCUUCCCCUGGGCUGAAUAGAAGUACUAGCUGUUAAUAAGAAAUAGACAAGAGACUGGGCUAUUUGACCCCACACUUUAUAAAUUGUUUUAAAUUCCACUUGAAAUAAGAGCUAAGAAACUACAGAGACUGCAGAAGAUUCCAAAAUAAUUCUUGACUUUGAAAUAUUUUUUUAUUGCACUGUUAAGAGUUUUGAUAUUUGGGAGUUAUAACUGGAAUUUCUCAUUUUCUUGACUAAACCUAUUUUGCAUCAGUAUUAAUAAGGUUCUACUAAGACUUUCAAAAAUAAAGUUAAACAUAAAACUAAAACACAAGGGAUACAAAGAUAAAAUAGCAAAGAUACCAACUGUUGAAAAGUUCGUAACAUUUAAUUCAUCCUUAUUUAUGAAGCAAAUAAUUCAAGGAUGCAUAAGGAAAAAUGGACAGAAAAUGCAAGAAAUGGGACAUAGAGAAGAAAAGAGAAAUUCCCACCCCGACAGAAAAUAAUGAAGUUAAAAAGCUUGAAGGGGAAAUACUGAGGCAGCCAUUUCUUGAAGUAGAUUAGCAGAUUUUCUGUACACUAACUUUGAUUGGUGUCAUCAUCAUUUUCAUGUUCUGAAUCUUCAUUAUCAAUACCCAGUUCCAAGAGUUCUCGCGUCCUUUAAAAAGACAAGCUGUGACUGGCUGAUGCGCCUCUGCUGGGGAUUCCGGAUGAUGUAGGAAGAUUGAGACUGGCUGGAGCUGUGGAGAAGCAAGAGCUCAUGAGGGCACUGUUGCCACCCCCCUGCUAUACAGCACACUUUUUAUGCUUCUUGGUAUCGCUUAGUGUGACCCACUUGCUAGGAUGCUAUUUUAAAUCUCACAUAAAAAUUCUUAGAAACCAACAAUUAAUCCAUAGUAUAUCCAAAAAUAUGAAGCCCAAAGAAAUUAAUUUUAUCACAGAGAUUUAACUUAGGAAUCUCAGAAGUGUUUUUACUUUUCAGUAAGUCAUUUCAAAUUUGUUAAUGCACAUCCUUUUAGGAGUCCUUCCCACUGAAAUGCUCCACUGGAAAUAUUUUUCCUUCUCCACUGCUUUCAUGCCAAUAGUCCUCAACUUCCAAAAGCUCCAACAGCAGCAUUCCUCCAUUAACAAAGUGUGGUAAUGAGUGUGUUUAUUACAAGGGAUCUAGUCUUUAAGACACCUGAUAUGACCUACUUGCUUCAGCUUAUUAACCCACUGAUGUGUGUGAAGAGGAGAAACAUCAGUUCAAAAGUAUGAAUUUAAAAACAGAAUCAUAACAAAAGGUGGGUGGCCGAAUAGUUCCACUUCUCUAAAAAUAUGCCUUAGAAACAGCCAAGAAAGGACACCUACUUCUAAUAUAAAAGGAAGGGGAGAAUGAGAGAAUGCAUCUUAAAAUGCAGGUCAGAGAUCAGCAUGUUAACCCUGUGACCUACUAUUAUCCUUUAUUAACAGAUUAAGAAACACAAACUAUAGAGAGGUUAAGGUUAAAGGACCUUUUAAAGGUAUUUACACAGAUAGCGUUCUUUCCUCACCUCAGUUGCUCUUAGAAAUGAGAAUCAAAGCAGUUACACAUGAAGAGUCAACUGAGACACUCUCCUUCAAACAUCCAAGUGUUUAAUAUUAGAAAUUUAAGUAACUGGUUCUUCACAGAGACAGUAAAUUACAAAGCUAAUGAAAAGGCUAAAAGAAAAGAUGAAAAGGGUAUUUCCAACCUAAGAUUCCAACAUCUCCAAUAUUAAAAAAUAAAAGUCAACAUUUGUGAAGCCACAAUUAGUAUUUCUUUAAAAUAAUUUUAAAAAGAAGUCUUGGAACAUCCACAAGAUCUAUCAUCCCCUCAAAGGACUUAUGUACUUAGUAUGUAUGAUACUGCUAAUUCCUAAAAUAUAUUAUUAACUCCCCAUUCAGAAAUGGAGCUUCAGUUUUCUUCAUACCAUGAUUCAGCCUCUUUCCCAUGAGACAUGGCACAGCUACAGUCCUGAAAGCCAGUCUAACAGGAGCUGUUAAAAUACUUCUUAAGUUACAGCUAUUUGCCAAACUGCAGAGAAAUCCUUCUUGGUGUAGAAUACCUAAAUAUGCUAAAUAAAAUAUUAAAAAACAAAGCACAACUAUCCUGGCGAUAAGAAAAACAAUCAUACGUCAAUAAGCCUGAGAGCAGUGGUGCCACCAUGUAUGCCAAAGGAAUCUGCUCAUGUCUCUUAGGCUAGAAGGGUUUCAAGGAGCCAUAGAUUUCACAGGAGACAGUCUAGGGUGUAAGCAAAAAUGGGAAGUUACAUCACAGAAAUUCCCUCUUCUCUCACACUCAGAUACAUAAAGCCAAACAAAUCAGGAAAGGGUAACCAAUUUUAAGAUACUUGCCUAUAUCAACCGUGGCUGGAUGGGGACAGGAAAAAUGUCUCUUCAGAGAACUAAUUAUAAACCUGCACUUAUGAUAGUUUAGGACUGCAAUUUGCACUGUGAGGGUAGGGUCAGGUUCACUGAUAUUAAUCCAAUGCCUCAACACCAUCAAAAAGCACCAAACCAGGGGUACCUGAGUGGCUUAGUCGGUUAAGCAUCUGCUUUUGGCUCAGGUCAUGAUCCCAGGGUCCUGGGAUGGAGCCCCACAGAAUCUCCCUCUGCUCCUCUCCUCUGCUUGUACACUUUCUCUCUCUUAAAGAAAUAAAUCCUUAAAAAAGAAAAAAAGUACCAAACAGCACUAUCUACCCCUAAUAUUCUCAAGUAUAGGAAAAAGGAAAAAAGAAAUCUGUCUAGAAUUAUCUCUAAUUAUCUUUAAACUUUAAUAGUUAUUUGACCUUGAAGAAGUUACCUAACCUCUCUGAGGCUCAGAUCUCUUGUUUUUAAAAGUAGAAUGACAGCGGUCAUGAAUUAUUGUGAAAAUCAAAACAGAUGCAUUGUAAUGCAUUUACAAUGCUUAAAGUUCCUAGUUCAUAAUAAAAUUUCAUUUAACAGUUUUUGUAUGAGGAAUGUACACAGAGAAACAGGUUAAUAAAGACAAAAGUUUUAAAGAGGUGAAGGGAAGCAACAGAAAAAGCAAAAAUACUGAACUCAAAACUUUAUGCUCAGUGGAGUGAUACAUACCAUCUACCAUCCAAUACAAAGGAAAUCACAAAGACUAAUCAAGUAUGAACUUUUUACUUAAGACAUGCUUGGAACACUGAUCAAAAUACACCCUUACAAGAAGGAGUGAUUGUACUGUAUUUAUAAUGAAGGAUUUCUACAUCACAUCAACAGUUGUAGCAAUAGUAACAUUACACUAUUAUCUUUCUUGACUAUCGAAUGAGAUCUCCUGGGAAAACUUGAGGGACUGACUCAAGAAUCAAUAGAUAGGGGAUACCUGGGUGGCUCAGUGGUUGAGCAUCUGCAUCUGCUUUGGCUCAACUCAUGAUCCCUGGGGGGGGUCCUGGGACAAGUCCUGCAUCAGGCUCCUUGCAGGGAGC